GAUGAACGCUGGCGGCGUGCCUAAUACAUGCAAGUCGAGCGAACAGACGAGGAGCUUGCUCCUCUGACGUUAGCGGCGGACGGGUGAGUAACACGUGGAUAACCUACCUAUAAGACUGGGAUAACUUCGGGAAACCGGAGCUAAUACCGGAUAAUAUAUUGAACCGCAUGGUUCAAUAGUGAAAGACGGUUUUGCUGUCACUUAUAGAUGGAUCCGCGCCGCAUUAGCUAGUUGGUAAGGUAACGGCUUACCAAGGCAACGAUGCGUAGCCGACCUGAGAGGGUGAUCGGCCACACUGGAACUGAGACACGGUCCAGACUCCUACGGGAGGCAGCAGUAGGGAAUCUUCCGCAAUGGGCGAAAGCCUGACGGAGCAACGCCGCGUGAGUGAUGAAGGUCUUCGGAUCGUAAAACUCUGUUAUUAGGGAAGAACAAAUGAGUAAGUAACUAUGCACGUCUUGACGGUACCUAAUCAGAAAGCCACGGCUAACUACGUG
rnacentral:rRNA from 1 species